rnacentral:lncRNA from 11 species
UUUUACAGUCAAAUGAAUUCUGAGAAAACAAGGGAGCUCCUUAGUAUGACCUCUUAUAUUCAGAACCCACACAGAACCCACCCAAUUACGGAUAAUCAUCAUAUAAUUGAACUAAACUUUUUACAGUUAAAUGAAUUCCGAGAAAAGAAAGGAGAUCCUUGGUAUGACCUCUUAUAUUCAGAACCCACUUACAGGUUAUAUAAUCAUCAUAUAAUUGAACUAAACUUUUUACAGUUAAAUGAAUUCCAAGAAAAGAAAGGAGAUCCUUGGUAUGGCCUUUUAUAUUCAGAACCCACUUACAGGUCUCACAAAUACCACUCGAUCGCGGCGGUCCGUUGAGCUUCUCAGUGUGUCAGGGGAACCUAACCUAAUUCUACCUACCACCGAACCUAACCUCUUCAUAAUAGUGUGCAAU